UGCCGGAUCGUCUAAUGGUAGGACAUCGCCCUUUGGAGGCGAGUAUCUAGGUCCGAAUCCUAGUCCGGCAG
rfam:Parcubacteria bacterium GW2011_GWC1_41_7 TT76_C0006, whole genome shotgun sequence.